UGAAGAAGAAAAAGUAGCAUAUAAUUGGAGUGUUUUCCAUCUCCUAUUUUCUCUCGCUGCUUUGUAUGUUAUGAUGACACUUACAAACUGGUAUAAGCCAAACUCCAGUCUGGAGACUUUAAAUGCAAACAACGCUUCAAUGUGGGUGAAGAUUAUUUCGUCAUGGAUGUGUCUGGGUCUUUAUGUGUGUUUAUUGGUAGUGCCUGUCCGUUUUCCCGAAUAGAGAUUUCUCUUAAACUUCUGGGUUUAUCGUAAGCCAAAAUCUGGGAGUAAAACAGACAUUUCUCUGCUUAUGAUCUAACAUUGAAAUGCUAAUUAUAUUUAAGCCAAGCAACGCAAUAUAAAAUAUUGCGUAUUAAAUUUAUAUAUUCCUGAAAAGUAGCCAUUCUAUAUUCAAAUUUGCUUUUUUAGUAGUGAUGUAUUUAACAUAGAUAUGUGCAGAAUGAACUGCAUGUAAUUUUAGUUACUAAACUUCUAUUAACUAAUUUUUAGAUUGUAUGCAAUUUAACUGUCCGUUUAAUGAUGUGCUAUUCCGAGAGACUUGCAUUGAUAUCGUA